CUAAAUAACUGAUCCCAUUGAAUAAUUUACUAUUUAAAAAAAUAUUUUAGAUCCAUUCUAAGUGUGCCUUGGAUUGAAUUAUGUGGUGAAGUUAAUAUUAGUUGUGCCAAGACAGGCUACUAUGCUCAUAUCGAUUUUCAUUCUAAACCUUUCUACAAUAACAAGAAACAUCGUAUCACUGCUAAUGUCUUUCAACCAAGUGACAAAAAGCCUUUUUAUACUGUGACGGGAGAAUGGAAUGGUGUAAUGGAAGGAAAGAAUUUAAAUACUGGGG